GUCUUGUUUAAAAGUGCAAAUACUAAAAAUGGAAGGACACGGAGAUCAGCAUGUCUCCCAGCUAAGGAUGACAUUCAUAUUCAUGAAGCAAUUCGUAUUUUU
ensembl:snRNA U6 U6 spliceosomal RNA